rnacentral:lncRNA from 1 species
GGGAAACUCCUGCCUGGGCGCACGUGACCCUCGCCGGCCAACCAGCAGCCGCGCCGGAGACUUCAAACGCGGCCAGCGCGGCCCAGCACCCGCGGCGAGUUAGCCGGCGGGCGGUGCGGGGGUGGCCGCGGUGGCCGCGGCUGCCUCGGGCGCCGGCGCCGCCUCUCCGCGCUGUUCCCCCGUUGCCCCCUUGGUACCCCCGGCUGCCGGGGACUGCCUCGCGCUCCAGAGCCCCUCUGAGGAGGAAAACGUCUGUCCCACCGACUGGCAGGGGAUGCUCCGUCAUCCCGUGCGAAGCCUGGUCCAAGGUAGGGCCGGCCGGCGUUCGGAGGCCUGUCCAGGUCUGGACAGAAGUGCCAGCCCGGGAUCUCCAGGUCUCUACGUCAACAUACUAAAGGUCCUCAUACUCCAGACUCCAGCAACAGCCAUCUAACUGGUCUCCGAAGCUCCACUUCUACCUCCCCAAUGUAUUCAGUAAUCCACAACCAGAUUAAUAAUAAAAUGCUGUUAAUACUAUGCCACCACUCUGAUAAAGAACCACUAACGACUUGCCCACACUCCUUAGCCUGGCAUUCAAAGGCUUCACACAUUUUCCCUACCUCUGCCUCCCUCUCCCAUAAGGAAAGCUGCCUCCUGACAAAGAGUGCAGAUGAAAUUCAUUCCCUUACCAGAACCCUUCCUUCAUGCACAUGGGUUACUUCUGCAUAAAGUAUAUCCCUCUUUAACUGUGCUGUUUCUGUCCAUCUUUCUAGGUUUACAUCAAGUCCGAAUUCAUGUAAAAUAAUUUUAUAGCUAAACUACAUAGGAAAUAAUACAGUCAGAAGCCCAGGAUUCUCAGCCUGCUUCUCCUGUUUCUUAGCUGAUAGACCUUGGAAGUAUUGCUUAAUUUCUGUAAUUCUCAACGUUUUCAUAUUCUGAAUUGCAUCUAUAUGAGAUUGUUGUGCGAUUAAUAAUAACAUUUUUUGGCCGGUUGCGGUCGCUCA